rnacentral:rRNA from 1 species
UACGUAGGGUCCGAGCGUUAAUCGGAAUUACUGGGCGUAAAGCGUGCGCAGGCGGUUUUGUAAGCCAGAUGUGAAAUCCCCGGGCUCAACCUGGGAACUGCAUUUGGGACUGCAAGGCUUGAGUACGGCAGAGGGGGGUAGAAUUCCUGGUGUAGCAGUGAAAUGCGUAGAUAUCAGGAGGAAUACCGAUGGCGAAGGCAGCCCCCUGGGUCGAUACUGACGCUCAUGCACGAAAGCGUGGGGAGCAAACAGG